rnacentral:misc_RNA from 1 species
UCUCUCUCUCUAUAUAUAUAUAAAUUCGUGGGUUGCCUUUGUAUUUUCGUAUUAUUUGUUGUAUGCCCCUUUUGCAUAUCCUAAUUCAAAGCCAUAUCAGUUUAGCGAUGUUGCCCUUGGCUGACUUCAAUUAGACCCGGGUCUUUGGAUGGAGUGCGGAAAGGAUACGCAAUGGAAGGGUAAGAGGGUAAGGAGAAGAGGGUAAGAGGGUUGCAAUAAAAAAAUUUUCAUGCAUGGAAAGUGUGAAUUAAUGGAAAUGUAAAGAGGGAAAUGUAUAUUAUUUAUGUUUAGGAAGAAGCGAAGGAAGUGUAAAUUUAAGGGGGUAUAAAAUAAAAAUGGUCAACGUUUACCUUCUCACACUCAAUUUAGGGUUUAAGAAAAAUUGAGAUUUGAGCGAUAAGAGAGGGCUGCUUUCCCUUCCCCUCAGUUAAAGAAUAAGUUGUGGUUGGUGACAGAAAGAUAAUGAGAUUGUUUAAUUAUGGCUUUUCUUGAGUUUAAAGAAUUAACAACUUUUCCAAGCAUUGAAGAAGAUUGGCUAUUCAUUCUGAUUUUAAGAAAGUAUUCAUAACUAAUACCCAUGCUGCAAGUGUAAAAUAAAUUAUUUUUCUUAAGUUUACUUUAUGUUUGAGCACAUCUUUUGCUCUCCUGGAAGAUCAAUUCACCACAAAAAUGCUAUUAGGAAUGUGGGAGGUAAAUGCUUAUAGUUUCUCAAUCAGUGUUGUCCCAAAUGGUGUUCUUUUGGAAUCACCAGCUCAAGUACAAUGAUGGAAAUUAAACUGUUGGACCAGUUUGAAUAUAUUUCCAUGCUACAAAUACAAUGUUAUGCUUAAAUAUAAAGUAUUAAAUACUCAAAGUCAAACAUCUAUGCUCUCUACUUUAUGCUCACCUACGGUAUGAUGCAGCACCUUCUCACUGUUUCGCAAAUAAUAAUGCAUUGAAGUGGAAAGUGUGAGGUUUGUGCAAGAUGGAGUUUCUUGUAAUAUAGUUACACUGGAGCUUUGAUUGCCUAGAUUCCUCCAACAAAUUUUUAUUUUACAUUUAUGAACCAUCUGGCUGCUAUAUACUUUAUUGUUCUUAGACCAUAUAAUGUUUCAUAUUCUGCAAAUGCAAAUUAUUUUGCAGUGCCAACGACAUUAGAAUAUAGAAGAAAAAAAGUUUUAAUAUGUUUUCAAUAAAAAUUGUCUUAUUAUUUAUUUAAGCAACAAAUUUUUUUAUGGAUUACAUUUGAUUUUUUCCUUGGAAGUUUAACAAAGAUAUUGAAAAUGCUUGUUUUUAUGAAACUUGAAAGUGUUACUGUUAUUGCAUUUGUUUUAAUCAUGAUAGGUGCGUGACUUGAGAAAAUUGAUUGCUGAAAACAAUCAUCUACCAAUUGAGAAUUUGAGGCUUAUCUUGCGUGGGAAUGUUUUGCAUGAUAACAGAAAUGAGGACGAAGUACACCUGCAACUCAGUAAUGGUGACUCGCUGAUUGUUGCUGUCAAACCAAAGCCACCAGCUAAACAUCUUCGGGAUGGUUUUGAUUUUGAUGAUGAUGACCUGGUACAACUGAAAUUUAAUUAUGCUUUUGAACUUAUUUUAGAUGUGUUUUAGAUAAUACAAAUUUUUUCUCAAGAAAUUGUUUUUCUUAAUUUCCGAGUCUCUAGAAAUUUCAGUUGCCACAGUCAACAAGUCGGUGGAAGAGGAGGCUUUACUAUUUUCUUCAUGAUAAGUUGAAACUUCCAGGUAAUCUAGUAGAGAUAUUGUUACAUUUGAAUAUAACAGUCUGCUGAUCAAUUAUUCUUUUCUAUUCCAAUGGUAGAUAUCCUCUUGAUGGCGCUUUUCUCUCUCAGUCUAAAAGCAUGGGCUGUGAUUAUUUUGUGGUUCAUUUUGGCACCUGUUGCACACAGAUGGGAUCUUGGACCAGUAUAUAUACUUGGCACAGGAUUUGCCAUUAUUUUCUUUAAUCUUGGACGACGGCAAGCUGGUGAUCUCAGUGCAUAUUCUAUCUUCAAUGAUGACUUCAGGGAGCUUCCUGGGACCCUUAAUGCAGAUCGUAUAGAUAGAGACAUUCGGGCCGGUCAAUUGUGAACUUUUCGCUCAUCAUUCAUUAUUGAAGUGUUUCAGUAUAUAUCCACAGUCUGCAAGAGGUGAUCUCAGUCAUAUACAGUAAGAUGAAAAUGUUUUUGCUUGCCCUGUACAGUAUCUUUAGUUUGUCAUACCCUUUAAAUUGUAACAAUUGAAUUCCUGAUUUUCCAAAGUUAAACCUCCAUUGCACUCGCUCUUAUUAGAAUUUAGAUUUUGGCUUGCUUCAAUAGAACUUUGAUAUCAUAGCAUGUUCUGUAAUUAUGGAAUUAAUUUGUCUGAUAGUUUUGAUGAUCUUUGCCUGAUGUAAACUUGGUAGAUGACAACUUUUAAUCUUAGGUUGAGGAUUUUCCAUGAUUUUUGUGGUCAAAAAGUGUUGUUCAGAUCUCUCUAUAUAUUUGAUUAAAAU